rnacentral:rRNA from 1 species
CUACGGGCGGCAGCAGUGGGGAAUUUUGGACAAUGGGCGCAAGCCUGAUCCAGCCAUUCCGCGUGAGUGAAGAAGGCCUUCGGGUUGUAAAGCUCUUUCGCAAGGGAAGAACACUUAGCUACUAAUAUUAGCUGAGGUUGACGGUACCUUGAUAAGAAGCACCGGCAAACUACGUGCCAGCAGCCGCGGUAAUACGUAGGGUGCGAGCGUUAAUCGGAAUUACUGGGCGUAAAGCGUGCGCAGGCUGUUUUGUAAGUCAGAUGUGAAAUCCCCGAGCUCAACUUGGGAACUGCGUUUGAAACUACAAGACUAGAAUAUGUCAGAGGGGGGUAGAAUUCCACGUGUAGCAGUGAAAUGCGUAGAGAUGUGGAGGAAUACCAAUGGCGAAGGCAGCCCCCUGGGAUAAUAUUGACGCUCAUGCACGAAAGCGUGGGGAGCAAACAGGAUUAGAUACCCCCGUAGUC